AGUGAACGCUGGCGGUAGGCCUAACACAUGCAAGUCGAACGGCAGCACAGAGGAGCUUGCUCCUUGGGUGGCGAGUGGCGGACGGGUGAGGAAUACAUCGGAAUCUACUCUGUCGUGGGGGAUAACGUAGGGAAACUUACGCUAAUACCGCAUACGACCUACGGGUGAAAGCAGGGGACCUUCGGGCCUUGCGCGAUUGAAUGAGCCGAUGUCGGAUUAGCUAGUUGGCGGGGUAAAGGCCACCAAGGCGACGAUCCGUAGCUGGUCUGAGAGGAUGAUCAGCCACACUGGAACUGAGACACGGUCCAGACUCCUACGGGAGGCAGCAGUGGGGAAUAUUGGACAAUGGGCGCAAGCCUGAUCCAGCCAUACCGCGUGGGUGAAGAAGGCCUUCGGGUUGUAAAGCCCUUUUGUUGGGAAAGAAAUCCAGCUGGCUAAUACCCGGUUGGGAUGACGGUACCCAAAGAAUGAGCACCGGCUAACUUCGUGCCAGCAGCCGCGGUAA
rnacentral:rRNA from 1 species